rnacentral:lncRNA from 1 species
CUGGUGGUGUUAUGACAGUGUUGAUUCCGAGGAACACAACGAUUCCGACCAAGAAGGAGCAGAUUUUCUCGACUUAUUCCGAUAACCAACCCGGGGUUUUGAUCCAAGUGUUUGAAGGAGAGCGUGCUCGAACAAAGGACAACAAUCUUCUCGGGAAGUUUGAGCUCACUGGGAUCCCUCCUGCACCAAGAGGCGUUCCUCAGAUUAAUGUCUGCUUCGACAUUGAUGCUAAUGGGAUUUUGAAUGUCUCUGCGGAGGAUAAAACCGCGGGUGUGAAGAACAAGAUUACUAUAACAAACGACAAGGGUAGGUUGAGUAAGGAGGAGAUAGAGAAGAUGGUGAAGGAUGCAGAGAGGUACAAGGCAGAGGAUGAAGAGGUGAAGAAGAAGGUGGAGGCGAAAAACUCGCUCGAGAAUUAUGCUUACAACAUGAGGAACACGAUAAAGGAUGAGAAGAUAGGGGGGAAGUUGGGGGCGGAUGAUAAGCAGAAGAUUGAGAAGGCUGUGGAGGAUGCGAUUCAGUGGCUGGAGGGGAACCAGUUGGCGGAAGUGGACGAGCUUGAAGACAAGCUGAAGGAGUUGGAAGGAAUCUGCAACCCCAUCAUUGCCAAGAUGUAUCAGGGUGGUGCUGGUGGAGAUGUUCCUAUGGCUGAUGACAUGCCUGGUGGUGGGUCUGGUUCUGCUGCUGGACCUAAGAUUGAAGAAGUUGACUGAGACUGACUUCAAGCUUGUGUUCCAGAGUGAAUCAAGACCUAUAGGAUCUUUGUUGUUGUCUACUUGUUAUUUUGUUCUGAAAAUGUAAGCUUAGCGAUGUGAAGUUUCCCCAAGAUUGAAUAAAAGUUUGUUUAGUUCUUUCAUCAAUAAAUGUUUUGAUUCAGAACAAGUUUGAUACUUUCUUUUGAUCAAAUUUAACAAUAAUUAAUAUAAAA